rnacentral:rRNA from 1 species
UGACGCUGGCGGCAUGCCUUACACAUGCAAGUCGAACGGCAGCACGGGCUUCGGCCUGGUGGCGAGUGGCGAACGGGUGAGUAAUACAUCGGAACGUGCCCUGUUGUGGGGGAUAACCAGUCGAAAGAUUGGCUAAUACCGCAUACGACCUGAGGGUGAAAGCGGGGGACCGCAAGGCCUCGCGCAGCAGGAGCGGCCGAUGUCUGAUUAGCUAGUUGGUGGGGUAAAGGCCCACCAAGGCGACGAUCAGUAGCUGGUCUGAGAGGACGAUCAGCCACACUGGGACUGAGACACGGCCCAGACUCCUACGGGAGGCAGCAGUGGGGAAUUUUGGACAAUGGGGGCAACCCUGAUCCAGCAAUGCCGCGUGUGUGAAGAAGGCCUUCGGGUUGUAAAGCACUUUUGUCCGGAAAGAAAACCUCCGCCCGAAUACGGUGGGGGGAUGACGGUACCGGAAGAAUAAGCACCGGCUAACUACGUGCCAGCAGCCGCGGUAAUACGUAGGGUGCGAGCGUUAAUCGGAAUUACUGGGCGUAAAGCGUGCGCAGGCGGUUUGACAAGACAGGCGUGAAAUCCCCGGGCUUAACCUGGGAAUGGCGCUUGUGACUGUCAGGCUAGAGUAUGUCAGAAGGGGGUAGAAUUCCACGUGUAGCAGUGAAAUGCGUA